GAGGAAUAUUGGUCAAUGGACGCAAGUCUGAACCAGCCAUGCCGCGUGCAGGAAGACGGCUCUAUGAGUUGUAAACUGCUUUUGUACGAGGGUAAACUCACCUACGUGUAGGUGACUGAAAGUAUCGUACGAAUAAGGAUCGGCUAACUCCGUGCCAGCAGCCGCGGUAAUACGGAGGAUUCAAGCGUUAUCCGGAUUUAUUGGGUUUAAAGGGUGCGUAGGCGGUUUGAUAAGUUAGAGGUGAAAUCCCGGGGCUUAACUCCGGAACUGCCUCUAAUACUGUUAGACUAGAGAGUAGUUGCGGUAGGCGGAAUGUAUGGUGUAGCGGUGAAAUGCUUAGAGAUCAUACAGAACACCGAUUGCGAAGGCAGCUUACCAAACUAUAUCUGACGUUGAGGCACGAAAGCGUGGGGAGCAAACAGGAUUAGAUACCCUGGUAGUCCACGCAGUAAACGAUGAUAACUCGUUGUCGGCGAUACACAGUCGGUGACUAAGCGAAAGCGAUAAGUUAUCCACCUGGGGAGUACGUUCGCAAGAAUGAAACUCAAAGGAAUUGACGGGGGCCCGCACAAGCGGAGGAACAUGUGGUUUAAUUCGAUGAUACGCGAGGAACCUUACCCGGGCUUGAAAGUUACUGACGAUUCUGGAAACAGGAUUUCCCUUCGGGGCAGGAAACUAGGUGCUGCAUGGUUGUCGUCAGCUCGUGCCGUGAGGUGUCGGGUUAAGUCCCAUAACGAGCGCAACCCCUACCGUUAGUUGCCAUCAGGUCAAGCUGGGCACUCUGGCGGGACUGCCGGUGUAAGCCGAGAGGAAGGUGGGGAUGACGUCAAAUCAGCACGGCCCUUACGUCCGGGGCUACACACGUGUUACAAUGGUAGGUACAGAGGGUCGCUACCCCGCGAGGGGAUGCCAAUCUCGAAAGCCUAUCUCAGUUCGGAUUGGAGGCUGAAACCCGCCUCCAUGAAGUUGGAUUCGCUAGUAAUCGCGCAUCAGCCAUGGCGCGGUGAAUACGUUCCCG
rnacentral:rRNA from 1 species